rnacentral:rRNA from 1 species
UACGUAGGGCGCAAGCGUUGUCCGGAAUUAUUGGGCGUAAAGAGCUCGUAGGCGGUUUGUCGCGUCUGCCGUGAAAACCCGAGGCUUAACCUCGUGGCUUGCGGUGGAUACGGGCAGACUAGAGUUCGGUAGGGGAGACUGGAAUUCCUGGUGUAGCGGUGAAAUGCGCAGAUAUCAGGAGGAACACCGGUGGCGAAGGCGGGUCUCUGGGCCGAUACUGACGCUGAGGAGCGAAAGCGUGGGGAGCGAACAGG